rnacentral:rRNA from 1 species
AGAGUUUGAUCCUGGCUCAGGACGAACGCUGGCGGCGUGCUUAACACAUGCAAGUCGAACGGAGCACCCCUGAAGGAGUUUUCGGACAACGGAUGGGAAUGCUUAGUGGCGGACUGGUGAGUAACGCGUGAGGAACCUGCCUUCCAGAGGGGGACAACAGUUGGAAACGACUGCUAAUACCGCAUGAUGCGUUGGAGCCGCAUGACUCUGACGCCAAAGAUUUAUCGCUGGAAGAUGGCCUCGCGUCUGAUUAGCUAGUUGGUGAGGUAACGGCCCACCAAGGCGACGAUCAGUAGCCGGACUGAGAGGUUGGCCGGCCACAUUGGGACUGAGAUACGGCCCAGACUCCUACGGGAGGCAGCAGUGGGGAAUAUUGGGCAAUGGGCGCAAGCCUGACCCAGCAACGCCGCGUGAAGGAAGAAGGCUUUCGGGUUGUAAACUUCUUUUAAGGGGGAAGAGCAGAAGACGGUACCCCUUGAAUAAGCCACGGCUAACUACGUG